rnacentral:lncRNA from 1 species
AUGCCCAGAAGAGGGACACGCCCGAAGAAGGCAGAAGGGAUAAUUUCUACUCAAUGUUUUUUCUUGGUUAAAACUGUCAUCUCCUCUCCAGUUCCCCCAAACUCCCCAUCCUAUCAGUCACAAGGCCAAACAAGUAUAAAACUGGCUCCUGCCCCAUGGAAGGAAACUUGCUUCCCCCAGGAAAGGUCUGGAAGGGGUAACAGUCUCUAUAUGGAGAGAGUUACUUCUAAAUUUUAAGAGAUCUCCCACAUUAAAUCUAGUAUUCUACUUCUCAGGUAAUAUCCAGUUUAAAACAUUAAAAUUUCUUCUAGAAAACUUUCUUUUGUGAAUUCUGACUUUGUAACUAAUGCAUUUGCCAAACAGAAAGAUUUUAAAUUUAAUUUCCCAAAAUGGCAUCCAGGUUUCUCCAGUUCUGUUUAUUGAGAAAUGAUUUUUUAAAAUAUUUAUUCCACCUCCUUUUUAAAAAUUUAUUUAUUCAUGAGAGACACAGAGAGAGAGAGAGAAAGAGGUAGAGACACAGGCAGAGGGAGAAGUAGGCUCUAUGCAGGGAGCCUGACGUGGGACUUGAUCCCGGGUCUCCAGGAUCAGGCCCUGGGCUGAAGGCAGGUGCUAAACCGCUGAGCCACCCAGGCUGCCCAGAGAAAUGAUUUAACUUUUAUUUUUAAGUAAUUCUAUACCCCACGUGGAGCUUGAACUCACAACCCCAAGAUCAGAAGUCACAUGCUCUAUUGACUGAGUCAGCCAGGUGCCCUGAGAAAUGAUUAAAAAAAAAAAUUAUAAGUGAUCCUAAUUUAUUUUAUAUUCAUAAAACUAUCAGUUAUACUGCACUGAAACUAAACUCACUCAACAACUAUGGGUAGUUUUUUUUUUUUUUUUUUUUUUUUAAUUCAGGGGAAAUGCUUAGGGUUUUAAAACUUAUUGCUAAAAACACACUGAUGGGAGUGGCCCUAGCAGUAUUAAAAAUUUCCAGGAGCACUACACAAUUCUAAAAUAAAGAUUUAACCAAAAAACCA